GAACGCUGGCGGCAUGCCUUACACAUGCAAGUCGAACGGCAGCACGGGAGCAAUCCUGGUGGCGAGUGGCGAACGGGUGAGUAAUAUAUCGGAACGUGCCCAGUCGUGGGGGAUAACGUAGSGAAAGCUACGCUAAUACCGCAUACGAUCUACGGAUGAAAGCGGGGGACUCGUAAGGGCCUCGCGCGAUUGGAGCGGCCGAUAUCAGAUUAGGUUGUUGGUGAGGUAAAAGCUCACCAAGCCUGCGAUCUGUAGCUGGUCUGAGAGGACGACCAGCCACACUGGAACUGAGACACGGUCCAGACUCCUACGGGAGGCAGCAGUGGGGAAUUUUGGACAAUGGACGAAAGUCUGAUCCAGCAAUGCCGCGUGCAGGACGAAGGCCUUCGGGUUGUAAACUGCUUUUGUACGGAACGAAACGGUCUGCUUUAAUACAGUGGGCUAAUGACGGUACCGUAAGAAUAAGCACCGGCUAACUACGUGCCAGCAGCCGCGGU
rnacentral:rRNA from 1 species